UACGUAGGGUGCGAGCGUUAAUCGGAAUUACUGGGCGUAAAGCGUGCGCAGGCGGCGCGUUAAGGCAGGUGUGAAAGCCCUGGGCUUAACCUAGGAAUUGCGCUUGAGACUGGAUAGCUUGGAGUGCGGCAGAGGGAGGUGGAAUUCCACGUGUAGCAGUGAAAUGCGUAGAGAUGUGGAGGAACACCGAUGGCGAAGGCAGCCUCCUGGGCCAGCACUGACGCUCAUGCACGAAAGCGUGGGGAGCAAACAGG
rnacentral:rRNA from 1 species